UACGGGGGGAGCAAGCGUUGUUCGGAUUUACUGGGCGUAAAGGGCGCGUAGGCGGCCAGCACAAGUCAGUUGUGAAAUCUCCGAGCUUAACUCGGAAAGGUCAACUGAUACUGUGCGGCUAGAGUGCGGAAGGGGCAACUGGAAUUCUUGGUGUAGCGGUGAAAUGCGUAGAUAUCAAGAGGAACACCAGUGGCGAAGGCGGUGCUCUGGGCCGGAACUGACGCUGAGGAGCGAAAGCGUGGGGAGCAAACAGG
rnacentral:rRNA from 1 species